rnacentral:rRNA from 1 species
UGCCAGCAGCCGCGGUAAUACGAAGGUGGCGAGCGUUGUUCGGAAUCACUGGGCAUAAAGCGCGUGUAGGCGGCCUGAUCAGUCGGGUGUGAAAGCCCUCAGCUUAACUGGGGAACUGCAUUCGAUACUGUCAGGCUUGAGUCCUGGAGGGGAGAGCGGAAUUCUUGGUGGAGCGGUGAUAUGCGUAGAUAUCAAGAGGAACGCCAGAGGCGAAAGCGGCUCUCUGGACAGGUACUGACGCUGAGACGCGAAAGCUAGGGGAGCAAACGGGAUUAGAUA